UUCGAAAGCGUGGUAGCAAACAGGAUUUAGAUACCGUGGUAGUCCACGCCGUAAACGAUGUCUACUAGUCGUUGGGUCCCUUGAGGACUUAGUGACGCAGCUAACGCAAUAAGUAGACCGCCUGGGGAGUACGGCCGCAAGGUUAAAACUCAAAUGAAUUGACGGGGGCCCGCACAAGCGGUGGAGCAUGUGGUUUAAUUCGAUGCAACGCGAAGAACCUUACCUGGUCUUGACAUACACAGAAUCUUGUAGAGAUACGAGAGUGCCUUCGGGAAUUGUGAUACAGGUGCUGCAUGGCUGUCGUCAGCUCGUGUCGUGAGAUGUUGGGUUAAGUCCCGCAACGAGCGCAACCCUUUUCCUUAGUUACCAGCACUUUGGGUGGGAACUCUAAGGAUACUGCCAGUGACAAACUGGAGGAAGGCGGGGACGACGUCAAGUCAUCAUGGCCCUUACGACCAGGGCUACACACGUGCUACAAUGGUAGGUACAGAGGGCAGCUACACAGCGAUGUGAUGCGAAUCUCAAAAAGCCUAUCGUAGUCCAGAUUGGAGUCUGCAACUCGACUCCAUGAAGUAGGAAUCGCUAGUAAUCGCGGAUCAGAAUGCCGCGGUGAAUACGUUCCCGGGCCUUGUACACACCGCCCGUCACACCAUGGGAGUUGAUUGCACCAGA
rnacentral:rRNA from 1 species